GCGGCCUAUCAGCUUGUUGGUGAGGUAAUGGCUCACCAAGGCAACGACGGGUAGCCGGCCUGAGAGGGCGACCGGCCACACUGGGACUGAGACACGGCCCAGACUCCUACGGGAGGCAGCAGUGGGGAAUAUUGGGCAAUGGACGCAAGUCUGACCCAGCGACGCCGCGUGCGGGAUGAAGGCCUUCGGGUUGUAAACCGCUUUCAGCAGGGAAGAAGCGAAAGUGACGGUACCUGCAAAAGAAGCACCGGCUAACUAUGUGCCAGCAGCCGCGGUAAUACAUAGGGUGCAAGCGUUGUCCGGAAUUAUUGGGCGUAAAGAGCUCGUAGGUGGUUCGUCACGUCGGAUGUGAAAAUCUGGGGCUCAACCCCAGACCUGCAUUCGAUACGAGCGAGCUAGAGUUUGGUAGGGGAGACUGGAAUUCCU
rnacentral:rRNA from 1 species